CCAAGGCGCAGCUACACAUGCAGUCGAGCGAGAACUUCGGUUCUAGCGGCGGACGGGUUAGUAACGCGUGGGAACGUGCCCUUCACUACGGAAUAGUCCCGGGAAACUGGGUUUAAUACCGUAUACGCCCUUCGGGGGAAAGAAUUUCGGUGAAGGAUCGGCCCGCGUUAGAUUAGAUAGUUGGUGGGGUAACGGCCUACCAAGUCUACGAUCUAUAGCUGGUUUUAGAGGAUGAUCAGCAACACUGGGACUGAGACACGGCCCAGACUCCUACGGGAGGCAGCAGUGGGGAAUCUUAGACAAUGGGCGCAAGCCUGAUCUAGCCAUGCCGCGUGAGUGAUGAAGGCCUUAGGGUCGUAAAGCUCUUUCGCCAGGGAUGAUAAUGACAGUACCUGGUAAAGAAACCCCGGCUAACUCCGUGCCAGCAGCCGCGGUAAUACGGAGGGGGUUAGCGUUGUUCGGAAUUACUGGGCGUAAAGCGCGCGUAGGCGGAUUGGAAAGUUGGGGGUGAAAUCCCAGGGCUCAACCCUGGAACUGCCUCCAAAACUAUCAGUCUAGAGUUCGAGAGAGGUGAGUGGAACUCCGAGUGUAGAGGUGAAAUUCGUAGAUAUUCGGAAGAACACCAGUGGCGAAGGCGGCUCACUGGCUCGAUACUGACGCUGAGGUGCGAAAGUGUGGGGAGCAAACAGGAUUAGAUACCCUGGUAGUCC
rnacentral:rRNA from 1 species